UGGAGUUGAAAGGAUUAUUUUUGUUUAUUUGAACAACUUUGACAUUUCUCUAUCGUUCCGACUAGGGACGCAGAUGCAGAGGCGAGACCUUCGAGGUCAAGCUGUGAGCUUUUGAUUUCUCAAGCGGCGCCGCUUGUUCACUUGCGUAUCCUUCUUCCGAUGGGCGAUGACCAAUCGCCGACCAUAAUGGCCAACAGAGACAGAGACAGAGACAGAGAUCGGGAACUUCUUAUCCCGGUGGCCGGUUCCGGCGAUGAUGGUGCCGCUUCUAAGCCUUCCUCCUCCUCCUCCUCCUCCUCUCAUCACGCUGGCCGCGAGACGUUUUACAAAGUUGUUAGGAGCUGGGCGUCUAAAAAGUUCAUGACUGGAUGUGUCAUUCUCUUUCCAAUCGCAAUAACAUUCUAUAUAACAUGGUGGUUUAUUCAUUUCGUGGAUGGAUUUUUUUCUCCUAUCUAUGCUCAACUUGGAAUUGAUAUUUUUGGCCUUGGAUUCAUAACUUCCAUAACUUUCAUCUUCUUGGUCGGGGUUUUCAUGUCAUCAUGGUUGGGUGCAUCUGUCCUGGGCCUUGGGGAGUGGUUUAUCAAGCGAAUGCCACUUGUGCGCCAUAUUUAUAAUGCCUCCAAACAAAUAAGUGCUGCUAUUUCACCAGAUCAAAAUACACAAGCCUUCAAAGAAGUGGCAAUCAUUCGGCAUCCACGAGUUGGUGAAUAUGCGUUUGGAUUUAUCACCUCUUCUGUUACCCUUCAGAGCUAUUCUGGAGAUGAGGAGCUAUGCUGUGUCUAUGUUCCCACGAACCAUCUUUAUAUUGGUGAUAUAUUUCUCAUCAACACACGUGAUGUCAUCAGGCCAAACUUAUCUGUCCGUGAAGGAAUCGAAAUUGUUGUUUCUGGAGGGAUGUCAAUGCCACAGAUUCUGUCCACGCUGGAUUCACGCUUGGUAAUUAGUACAAGUGAUAGAAUUAGACCUGACAGAAGCUGACAGGGAAGUCUCGGCUGGUGUUCUACUACGUUCUUUCAUUCCACAUGGAGCCAUCAGAUAGGCCUUAAUGCAAUCGAUGAACAAAUGAGGUCUACGGUGCGGAUCUGUGGAGGAAAAGCGAAACAUGCACCGACGGAAGUGGACUCCAAUAUGAUUUGGGCGGAAAACUUUACAAGUGCGAGCCGAGUAGAAGCAAUUAAUGGAUGAAGAAAAGAGAAUUUUUAGGAGAAUUUGGCAGUUAAUUAUUAAAUUCCAAAUGUAAUUGUGCAUUUUCCAUCUAUUGGAUUUCGGUCUCUUGUGACUAA